ensembl:lncRNA
UGUAAGUUAUAUUAAAUCUGUGAUAACUGAGAACAGAAACAGCCUUGAAGAAUAUACUGAAAAACUGCUAGUCUAAGGGAAGAUUGUGGUUGUGGGCAGCUAUGUUUUUUGCAUUUCCAACUCCUGCAGUAGCCCUGGGAGCAACCAGGCAUUGGUAGACAUGUUGGAAGGCAGCCACACAGGCGGCUACUCUGAAGGACUGUGGGACUUUUUCUUCCCCUUAACUUUCUGGAACUUCUAUUACGUUUGUGUGCUGAUUGGAAGAAAAGAGAUGGUGCCUUUAAGUACCAACCAGAACACCAGCUCAAAUUCAACAUCACAAGAAUUCAGUCAUCUUCUACUGUUUCUGUUUCAGAUGUUCUGCCUUAUCCCCCCGUCCAGACCAGAAACCUUGCUGUAACAUCA